rnacentral:rRNA from 1 species
AAACGGCUACCACAUCUAAGGAAGGCAGCAGGCGCGUAAAUUACCCAAUCCUGACUCAGGGAGGUAGUGACAAGAAAUAGCAAACCGGGAACCUCAUGGUUUCACGGUAUUGCAAUGAGAACAAUUUAAAACCCUUAGCGAGAAUCAAGUGGAGGACAAGUCUGGUGCCAGCACCCGCGGUAAUUCCAGCUCCACUAGCGUAUAUUAAAGUUGUUGCAGUUAAAAAGCUCGUAGUUGAACCUCUGUCUGGGGCUAGUUUUGGCUUUGGUCAGGCUAGUUCUAGGCAUCCGCCUACAAGACUUAGAGGGCAUUCAUUUGUUCACUAGGAGGAGUAGGCAUUUAACUUUGAAAAAAUUAGAGUGUUUAAGGCAGGCAAUCGCCCGCAUAUAUUAGCAUGGAAUAAUAGAAUAGGACACUUUUCCAUUUCGUUGGUUAUUGGAAUCGUGUAAUGAUUAAUAGGGACAGUUGUGGGCAUUUGUAUUUAAUUGUCAGAGGUGAAAUUCUUGGAUUUAUUAAAGACAAACUAACGCGAAAGCAUUUGCCAAGGAUGUUUUCAUUAAUCAAGAACGAAAGUUAGGGGAUCAAAGACGAUCAGAUACCGUCCUAGUCUUAACUAUAAACUAUUCCGACUCAAUGUUUGACUGGCUUAUAUAACCAGUUGAGCGUUGUAUGAGAAAUCAAAGUCUUUAGGUUCUGGGGGGAGUAUGGUUGCAAAGCUGAAACUUAAAGGAAUUGACGGGAGACACAACCAGGAGUGGAUUCUGCGGCUUAAUUUGACUCAACACGGGGAAACUUACCAGGUUAAAACAGUAGUGGGAUUGACAGUUUGAGAGCGCUUUCUUGAUUGGUUGGGUGGUGGUGCAUGGCCGUUCUUAGUUGGUGGAGUGAUUUGUCUGCUUAAUUGCGUUAACGAACGAGACCUUAACCUGCUUACUAGACUGGCGAUCAUCAAUCGUUAGCUCUUCUUAGAGGGACUUUGGUUGUUUUAACUCCAAGGAAGUUUGAGGCAAUAACAGGUCUGUGAUGCCCUUAGAUAUCCUGGGCCGCACGCGUCAUACAAUGACUAGUUCAGAAAGUUUUCUCCUGACCCGAAAGGGGAUGGGUAAUCUUGAUAAUACUAGUCGUGUUAGGGAUCGAUCUUUGCAAUUAUAGAUCUUGAACGAGGAAUUCCUAGUAAGUGCGGUUCAUCAGACCGUACUGAUUACGUCCCUGCUCUUUGUACACACCGCCCGUCGCUUCUACCGAGUGGGUGGUCCGGUGAGAUAAUUGAACUUCGCAGGUAACUGAGAGGAAAGAUUAUCAAACCUAUCCACCUCGAGGAAGAAGAAGUCGUAACAAGGUU